UCAGGUUCAUUGCUGUCCCAUUCCCAGCUGGCUGUAUCCAGGAUCCAAUGUUCCAUCCCAGGUGCUUGUGUUCCUCUUGAGAACAGCGGUGAAUUUUCUAGGCUUUUAAGCAGGAACACUGCUCUUCUGGAGACUCAUAUUUCCAUUCACUGAGAAACUUCAUGAAGAUUGCAUCUGAGGCUAAAGCUGCCUUUGUUUAUACACAUGCUCGUCUCAGCUGUAGAACUCCAUGGAAGUUGCCAACACGGGAAGCAUAACUGAUGGAUGAUGAGGACGCGAGCCCCAGGUGGCCAUGAAGCAAACCCAAGAGUCAAGAUUCCUGAAUUCUGGGAAAGCUGAAAUCCCACAGUGAAUUUUGUGCCUGAUCUCUAUCUCUGCAAAGGGCAGAACCAAAAUCUCCACCCUCACAUUUCCAGCCUUUGAGGCUUGAAUUCUUUAGCAGCAUCCAAAUGAGAGUAGAUAUUUGUUUCCCCAGGGACAACUAGCAGCAGGACACCUUGUGUCACUGCUACUUGUCCCUGGGGAAUGCCUGUGCCAAGCGCUCUCUGGCAUGUGGCAAGUUAUACCUGGUGCAGUAGGAGAAGCUGGGACACGGCUGUGGCACCACAUACUGCAUGGCUGCACUUGUCUGGACACAGCUUUUGAGUCCUUGAGUCUUUAUCCCAAGGACAAGGAAUUUCCCAAUUUCCCUACAAUCUGAAAGCCAAAUGUCAAAUUUCUGAUGGCCAAACAUAUGGAAUUUAUAAUGAAUUUCUCUGUACAUUGAAUACUAGCACAGUAAAAAGAAUAUAAAGUAUGUCAGGGCACUUAAUGCAUCUGUGGGUAUGCUGUGUUCCCAUCUUCUAAACUCGGCAGACACUGUAAGUUGUGCCCCACCCUGUAGAGACAGACUUAAUCCCCUUCCAUGCCCUGUGAGUAGUUUCCUUGUGUCCACUGGAGCUAAACACAUGUACAGAGUUUAGCACAAGUGCAAGUCUUUACAGGAUUGGGGGCUGUCUGUCCUACCUCGUCUGUAGUUCUGCUUGGAAUGUCCAGGCAUUGACAUUAUAAUGAUCUCUUCAAUGCAUUAUACGUUCAGAAACGUAUUUCAUACUCUGAGGUAUUUCUUCACCAAGUAAUCAGCACGCACUGCCUUCUUACUGAAAAUAGUGAGAGAAAUCCUCAACUGGUGUAAAUAGCAUUGCACCAUUGAUUUCAGAUGAACCAAAUUGAUUUGCAAUGACUGAGAAACUGGUCCCAAUAUGUAUUGUUUUACAAUUACUCAAAUUACACAUCAGGCCAUCUGCUCUUUCAGGCACCCACUAAUACCCAGAAAAAAGGCCUGCUUGAUGUUGGCAUUUUUCAUGGCAGCUGGGGAGUGGAAUGAAAAGAAAAGAGCAGUUACCAAGACAGCCUGGGAAAUAGAAACAAGAUUUUAAAAAAAAUGUGUUUAGGUUCAGAUUUUAAAGGGCAUUUACUUGCAGUAGCUGGGGACUGCUUUCUGUCCACGCUCCCCUCCCAUGGCCUAAAGGCUAAUACAGUGCAUUUAUACUGUCAUUUUGCUGCAUUACAAGAGGGGUUUUAUUUCAGAUUCUAGCAGUGGUUCUGUAGUUCCAAAGCUGUGUCUUAAACUUUCAAUCUGCUUAUUAAUACCCAUGUCAUGGCUCCUGUUGAGAAAGAGGUUUAGUGUCACUGUCCUCAAUCAGUGUCCUUUCAUUCACUUUCAUUAAGAACCAUGUUUUCCUGACAAAGGAUAACAAAUGGACACUGUUGGUCCCUAAUGUGCUUUUUGACUACAGAGCCUGUACCAUUUCUCUGAAGCAAUGGCAAUUAUUUGUCAUUUUAAUAUGACUUGGCAAGGAGAUCCAAAAACAUAUGACCAUUAUUCAUCAAUAUGUAUAUUUUGUGCUUGCAUUAAUAUUAGAAUAUCAUUAUUAUUAUCCUGACAUUGUAUGGGCUAGAUAAAAUUGCAUCGUGUAAAAUGUAUUAAACUAUGUUCAGCAAUAUUCAUAUGGCAAGGCAAAAGCAAUUUGAAGACCUAUAAAAUGUAUCUGUUGAAUGCUGCAAUUUAUUAUGAUUAGUGGUGAGGCACCUUUACCUUUGUGCUAAUGGAAUAUAUAUCAGUGUUUCACCACUGCUAAUUGGAAAUAGUAUAGCUAUAUGUUACUACCACCAUCAAAAUCUAUAUAGUAGUUUCAUCCAUUUUUCCAAAUUGUGAAAAUGUUGUGAUGUCUAAUAUUCCUGGCAUUGUAAAGAUUAAACAGGUGAAUGAUAAAAAGACCUUUUUUAUUAAUUUGGGAA